UAUUGGACAAUGGGCGAAAGCCUGAUCCAGCCAUGCCGCGUGAGUGAUGAAGGCCCUAGGGUUGUAAAGCUCUUUUGUCCGGGAAGAUAAUGACUGUACCGGAAGAAUAAGCCCCGGCUAACUUCGUGCCAGCAGCCGCGGUAAUACGAAGGGGGCUAGCGUUGCUCGGAAUCACUGGGCGUAAAGGGUGCGUAGGUGGAUUUUUAAGUCAGAGGUGAAAUCCUGGAGCUCAACUCCAGAACCGCCUUUGAUACUGAGAGUCUUGAGUUCGGGAGAGGUGAGUGGAACUGCGAGUGUAGAGGUGAAAUUCGUAGAUAUUCGCAAGAACACCAGUGGCGAAGGCGGCUCACUGGCCCGAUACGACACUGAGGCACGAAA
rnacentral:rRNA from 1 species